GUGGGGAAUAUUGGACAAUGGGCGAAAGCCUGAUCCAGCCAUGCCGCGUGUGUGAAGAAGGUCUUCGGAUUGUAAAGCACUUUAAGUUGGGAGGAAGGGCAGUAAGUUAAUACCUUGCUGUUUUGACGUUACCGACAGAAUAAGCACCGGCUAACUUCGUGCCAGCAGCCGCGGUAAUACGAAGGGUGCAAGCGUUAAUCGGAAUUACUGGGCGUAAAGCGCGCGUAGGUGGUUUUGUAAGUUGGAGGUUAAAUCCCCGAGCUCAACCUGGGAACUGCCUCCAAAACUGCAUGACUAGAGUACGGUAGAGGGUAGUGGAAUUUCCUGUGUAGCGGUGAAAUGCGUAGAUAUAGGAAGGAACACCAGUGGCGAAGGCGACUACCUGGACUGAUACUGACACUGAGGUGCGAAAGCGUGGGGAGCAAACAGGAUUAGAAACCCUGGUAGUCC
rnacentral:rRNA from 1 species